CUCGUAGGCGGUUCGUCGCGUCCGGUGUGAAAGUCCAUCGCUUAACGGUGGAUCCGCGUCGGGUACGGGCGGGCUUGAGUGCGGUAGGGGAGACUGGAAUUCCCGGUGUAACGGUGGAAUGUGUAGAUAUCGGGAAGAACACCAAUGGCGAAGGCAGGUCUCUGGGCCGUUACUGACGCUGAGGAGCGAAAGCGUGGGGAGCAAACA
rnacentral:rRNA from 1 species